rnacentral:rRNA from 1 species
GACGAACGCUGGCGGCGCGCUUAACACAUGCAAGUCGAACGGAAAGGCCUGCUUUCCCUUGUGGAUUGCGGGUACUCGAGUGGCGAACGGGUGAGUAACACGUGAGUGAUCUGCCCCCAACUUGGGUAUAAGCCUGGGAAACUGGGUCUAAUUCCCGAUAGGACUGCAGGGUGGUGCCUGUGGUGGAAAACGAUUUUCUAGUGGUUGGGGAUGAGCUCGCGGCCUAUCAGCUUGUUGGUGGGGUAAUGGCCUACCAAGGCGGCGACGGGUAGCCGGCCUGAGAGGGUGGACGGCCACAGUGAGACUGAGAUACGGCCCAGACUCCUACGGGAGGCAGCAGUGGGGAAUAUUGCACAAUGGGCGGAAGCCUGAUGCAGCGACGCCGCGUGGGGGAUGACGGCCUUCGGGUUGUAAACUCCUUUCGACCGCGAGGAAGCCACCUGGUUGGAAGGGUGGUGACGGUAGUGGUAGAAGAAGCACCGGCUAACUACGUG